GUUUUUUUGAGAAUAAUUUAAAGUCAAAUUUGCCCCCUGAUUAAUUUAAAGGGCUGCAGUAAAUUGACUGUACAAAGGUAGCAUAAUCAUUAGUCUUUUAAUUGGAGACUUGUAUGAAAGAUUUGAUGAAAUAUAGACUGUCUUUUUUUUAUAGUUAGAAUUUAAUUUUUUAGUAAAAAAGCUAAAAUUUAUUUAAAAGACGAGAAGACCCUAUAGAGUUUUAUAAUUAAUUUAAUUAUAUUUUUUUGUUAAAUUAAAAAAAAAAAUUAUUUUGAAUAUUUUGUUGGGGUGAUAAAAAAAUUAGAUAAACUUUUUUUACAUAAAAACAUUAAUUAAUGAUUAAUUGAUCCAUAAAUUUAUGAUUACAAGAAAAAAUUACCUUAGGGAUAACAGCGUAAUUUUUUUUUUUAGUUCUUAUAAAAAAAAAAGUUUGCGACCUCGAUGUUGGAUUAAGAUAAAAUUUAAAUGUAGAAGUUUAAAAUUUUUGAUCUGUUCAAUCAUUAAAAUCUUACA
rnacentral:rRNA from 1 species